rnacentral:rRNA from 1 species
UACGGAGGGUGCAAGCGUUAAUCGGAAUUACUGGGCGUAAAGCGUGCGUAGGCGGUUCGUUAAGUCUGUUGUGAAAGCCCCGGGCUCAACCUGGGAAUGGCAAUGGAUACUGGCGAGCUAGAGUGUGUCAGAGGAUGGUGGAAUUCCCGGUGUAGCGGUGAAAUGCGUAGAGAUCGGGAGGAACAUCAGUGGCGAAGGCGGCCAUCUGGGACAACACUGACGCUGAGGCACGAAAGCGUGGGAAGCAAACAGG